rnacentral:rRNA from 1 species
GACGGAGGAUGCAAGCGUUAUCCGGAAUGAUUGGGCGUAAAGCGUCCGCAGGUGGCAGUUCAAGUCUGCUGUCAAAGACCGGGGCUUAACUUCGGAAAGGCAGUGGAAACUGAACAGCUAGAGUAUGGUAGGGGCAGAGGGAAUUCCUGGUGUAGCGGUGAAAUGCGUAGAGAUCAGGAAGAACAUCGGUGGCGAAGGCGCUCUGCUGGACCAUAACUGACACUCAGGGACGAAAGCUAGGGGAGCGAAAUGGG